rnacentral:rRNA from 1 species
AGAGUUUGACCCUGGCUCAGAUUGAACGCUGGCGGCAUGCUUUACACAUGCAAGUCGAACGGCAGCAUAGGUGCUUGCACCUGAUGGCGAGUGGCGGACGGGUGAGUAAUGCAUCGGGACGUGUCCGGAAGAGGGGGAUAACUGUUCGAAAGAACAGCUAAUACCGCAUAAUAUCCGAGGAAGAAAGCUGGGGACCUUAGGGCCUGGCGCUUACGGGGCGACCGAUGUCUGAUUAGCUAGUUGGUGGGGUAAAAGCCUACCAAGGCGACGAUCAGUAGCUGGUCUGAGAGGACGACCAGCCACACUGGGACUGAGAAACGGCCCAGACUCCUACGGGAGGCAGCAGUGGGGAAUUUUGGACAAUGGGGGCAACCCUGAUCCAGCAAUGCCGCGUGUCUGAAGAAGGCCUUCGGGUUGUAAAGGACUUUUGUUGGGGAGCAAGGUGCACAGGUUAAGAGCUAGUGUACUUGAGAGUACCCAAAGAAUAAGGACCGGCUAACUACGUGCCAGCAGCCGCGGUAAUACGUAGGGUCCAAGCGUUAAUCGGAAUUACUGGGCGUAAAGAGUGCGCAGGCGGCUUUGUAAGCUUGAUGUGAAAUCCCCGGGCUCAACCUGGGAACUGCAUUGAGGACUGCAAGGCUAGAGUGUAGCAGAGGGGGGUAGAAUUCCACGUGUAGCGGUGAAAUGCGUAGA